rnacentral:rRNA from 1 species
CAGCUUACACAUGCAGUCGAGCGGUAGCACAAGGGAGCUUGCUCCCUGGGUGACGAGCGGCGGACGGGUGAGUAAUGUCUGGGAAACUGCCUGAUGGAGGGGGAUAACUACUGGAAACGGUAGCUAAUACCGCAUAACGUCGCAAGACCAAAGAGGGGGACCUUCGGGCCUCUUGCCAUCAGAUGUGCCCAGAUGGGAUUAGCUAGUAGGUGGGGUAAUGGCUCACCUAGGCGACGAUCCCUAGCUGGUCUGAGAGGAUGACCAGCCACACUGGAACUGAGACACGGUCCAGACUCCUACGGGAGGCAGCAGUGGGGAAUAUUGCACAAUGGGCGCAAGCCUGAUGCAGCCAUGCCGCGUGUGUGAAGAAGGCCUUCGGGUUGUAAAGCACUUUCAGCGAGGAGGAAGGUGGUGAACUUAAUACGUUCAUCAAUUGACGUUACUCGCAGAAGAAGCACCGGCUAACUCCGUGCCAGCAGCCGCGGUAAUACGGAGGGUGCAAGCGUUAAUCGGAAUUACUGGGCGUAAAGCGCACGCAGGCGGUUUGUUAAGUCAGAUGUGAAAUCCCCGGGCUCAACCUGGGAACUGCAUUUGAAACUGGCAAGCUAGAGUCUCGUAGAGGGGGGUAGAAUUCCAGGUGUAGCGGUGAAAUGCGUAGAGAUCUGGAGGAAUACCGGUGGCGAAGGCGGCCCCCUGGACGAAGACUGACGCUCAGGUGCGAAAGCGUGGGGAGCAAA